rnacentral:rRNA from 1 species
UGGGGAAUAUUGCACAAUGGGCGCAAGCCUGAUGCAGCCAUGCCGCGUGUAUGAAGAAGGCCUUCGGGUUGUAAAGUACUUUCAGCGGGGAGGAAGGUGUUGAGGUUAAUAACCUCAGCAAUUGACGUUACCCGCAGAAGAAGCACCGGCUAACUCCGUGCCAGCAGCCGCGGUAAUACGGAGGGUGCAAGCGUUAAUCGGAAUUACUGGGCGUAAAGCGCACGCAGGCGGUCUGUCAAGUCGGAUGUGAAAUCCCGGGGCUCAACCUGGGAACUGCAUUCGAAACUGGCAGGCUAGAGUCUUGUAGAGGGGGGUAGAAUUCCAGGUGUAGCGGUGAAAUGCGUAGAGAUCUGGAGGAAUACCGGUGGCGAAGGCGGCCCCCUGGACAAAGACUGACGCUCAGGUGCGAAAGCGUGGGGAGCAAACA